UUUAUUAAAGUUAGAGCAGAGAAUAUGUUCGUAAUUAAGCAAUAACUACAUACGCAUGUAUAUGCAUACACAAAUGUGGGCACUUUGGUGGAGAUAGAGCCACCAAGUCCCCAACACAAGUUCAAGAGCAAGACCGGAUCGAUUCAAUUCCGCAAAGCCAUUUCCAAUUUCCAAUUAUAACGCAAUGCGAUUGCGUGCACAAAAUGACAAGCUUUUAUGAAUUCGCGAUGGUCUCGAAACGACUACAACGAUGGGGUCAGACACAUGGGGAACGUUGGACACACGGACACCCAUUAAAUUAUGAUUUCAUUUGACGGCGCCGUUGGCAGAGACGAGUUGUAGGAGCCAAAAAGCUGUGGAAACACCCGCACAGCACCGAAGAUGUCGGAAA